rnacentral:misc_RNA from 1 species
GGACUACUCGGGUUUCUAAUCCUGUUUGCUCCCCACGCUUUCGCACCUCAGCGUCAGUAAUGGACCAGUGAGCCGCCUUCGCCACUGGUGUUCCUCCGAAUAUCUACGAAUUUCACCUCUACACUCGGAAUUCCACUCACCUCUUCCAUACUCCAGAUCGACAGUAUCAAAGGCAGUUCCAGGGUUGAGCCCUGGGAUUUCACCCCUGACUGAUCGAUCCGCCUACGUGCGCUUUACGCCCAGUAAUUCCGAACAACGCUAGCCCCCUUCGUAUUACCGCGGCUGCUGACAC